CGAGGAAUGCCUAGUAAGCGCGAGUCAUCAGCUCGCGUUGACUACGUCCCUGCCCUUUGUACACACCGCCCGUCGCUCCUACCGAUUGAAUGGUCCGGUGAAGUGUUCGGAUCGCGGCGACGGGGGCGCUUCGCCGCCCCCGACGUCGCGAGAAGUCCAUUGAACCUUAUCAUUUAGAGGAAGGAGAAGUCGUAACAAGGUUUCCGUAGGUGAACCUGCGGAAGGAUCAUUG
rnacentral:ncRNA from 1 species